rnacentral:lncRNA from 1 species
CACCACCCAACUCAUACCCGCCUCAUCGGCUGUUCACACGUGCACUUCCUGAACUACCACAUUCUACAGUGAUAAUAAUGACUGAGUUCUGUCUUAUUCGGUAAAGCUCUUGGGUACAGUGGUGAUCAUGUUACACACAUAUCAAGUGGUGUGGGAAAAAAGCAUCCAGAAGGCAAUUUCAAGCAUGCAAAAUGGGAUCACUGACAUGGAAAAUCAGUGACAUCUGAUUCCCAUUGUGCCAGCCUUCUGUAAAUAUUUGGCUACCUUGUUGCCCCAGGGCACCUGUCUUGGGGAUAACCAAGAAUGUGGAUGGUGAUGGCCAUGGUGCAAGACUCAGCUUCAGUGGGGGCUGCUCCCAGGAUGUCGGGCUCACGGACCCCUCUCAUUGAUGCCAGUCUCAGGUGGCUCUAUCCCUGGAAGAACAUUCAGGUCAUUUUUGCAUCAUUUGAUCCUUGAAACUAUACUAAGAAGGGGUCAGAGUGAUAUCACCGUUUUCUCAAAUGUGAGAAUGAACACUGGCAAGAUAAAGUGACUUAUUCAAACGUACCCAGAGAGCUGAUGAGAAAGUCAAGCCUAGGAAGCAUACACACUAAAUAAUGUCACUGGAGACAAGACGUAGCCCCAUUUUCCAUCUUGUAGUCCCAGUCUCAACCUCUGGUUUAUUCUCCUGAGAAUCAAUAAUGAUACAGAAGCAGAGCUGGGGAGUGGAACUGAAAUUUCUCAAUUUGGGACACAAUCUUGCUCUCAGUUAUUGAUACAGAAGUUGACACAUAAAAAGUGAAGGGUAAUUCAAACCAACAUUAUCAUAUCUGCUAAAACUUCUAAGUGUCCAAUU